rnacentral:lncRNA from 1 species
GGUAGAUGUAGGCGGCGAAACGGCAUUUCCUAUGGUGUUUUUUUGAUGGGGAGAGGGAGAUGAAUAUAAGGAGCGUAAAUAUCGAUGCAAGCGAUGCAGUAUAAGCCGUUUUAGUUGAUGUUGAGCCACAAGAUCGGUAUCCCACCGAAUCAAAUCUCUAUUUAUCUCGCUGACUAGAAGAGAAAUUCGAAGCUCAAGAAUCGUAGGAGAAUUUUGAUUACUGGCAAGGUUAAUUUUACGUUUAUAUUCGACGAAAAGGAUUACUGCUUAAAGAUUACGAAAACCAAGAAACCGAAAGGUUAGAAUGAAUGGACUGGAGUUUGCCGAUUUCUUGUCGGAAUAUGACUACACAACAGAACCGGAACAGGAACUAGAACUGGAGAAUUUAAUUUUGCUCUAUCGUAACCAAAUGGCGCCAUUUUCGAAUUUGAUUACGCAAACGGAGAUGGAGAAUUUAAACGAUCGACUACAGAAUCGGAAGGUCCAGAAGAAUAAUUAUCAGAUACUAAUGGAGAGACCUGAUUCAAUCUGGGAUUGUACAUGGACUCAAUUUUGGAUUUGAAUUCGCACCCGAUGUUGUCAAAGAAUGUGAAUAAGAAUGCCUUCUACAAAGAAUGCGUGAAUUGGAAGAAUAAUAGAAAAGCGGUGUCGUUUCAUCUGUGUGUAAAUGACUCGAUAAUCGCUUAGUUUCUAACCCAGUUCGGGCCAUCUCUAGGCCUAUCAAAUGAUUUCCC